AGCUUUGCGCAGUGGCAGCAUUGCAGCCAAUGAGGUUAAUCUGAGACACGAUUAUUGCUAAUUGAAAACAUUUCCCUUCCCAAUACCCUAACAUGAUGACUUGAACUAUAGUCAGCAUUGGCAAUCUUUGUCUCUCCGGAUA